CUCAGAUCUGGGAGGACAGAGCUGCAUGAGGGGGGGGAAGUUUGAACCCAGCAGACCCACAAACAUGUGGCAACAGGCUGACUACCUAGGGCUCCUUGCACGCUCCCUUCAUGAUGGAAGAUUUGUUCAAUAAUCCCCAGGAUUGUAGCUAAACACUCCAGGACAUAUUUCUCUACUUGGCUACAGUCAAGGCCCUGGCUCAGACAUCUCCAUCUCCCCCAGAAUGACCUCUGAAAGCACUCGUCUUGCACUCCUGCAUGGCCUUGAGAGCCUGGAGCUGAGCAGUGGCUGACCCGUUCCGACAGGAUCAGCACCUUCACUACCUGCCCGUGGGCAUUUGAAGUUGCAACUCUUUAUUUAAUGAGCGGGAAAAAGAAGAAAUAAACACUGCUUGGUGCCAAAAAAAGAGACUCUGGAACUUGAGGCCUGUCACUGCUCACUAAAGGAAAAAAUCAAAAAGAAAUGCAAGUGUAAGAAGGAGGAGGAGAAAGAGGAAAAGAAAGAAGAGGAAGAAAAGUAUGUAAUCCAUAAAGAUCUUCUCCUAAAAUGGGUAAAGGGGGAAAUUAGGGGUGAUUUAAAAGAAUCUACUGUUUUUCAAGGAAAUUACUCUCUAAGGAUCAUUCUGCCUCCACCUCACACUGUAUAAAUGUGGUGAGUGGGCUAAAGGCAGGUGAGGUACCACAAAUGCAGAAGACCCUGAGAAUUGCCAAGGGCACCAAGACUCUGAUCCUUCUCUGUCUGGCCAAGGCAGGAACAAUUUCUGUCUCAUAGUGCCAGAAAAAUGCAUUCUCCCCAUUUCACAGAUAAGGAACUUGAAUCUUGAAGAUGACAAACAACUUGUCCAAGACCAUAUUGGUAUUAAGUGGUGAACUUGGGAUUUUAAACCCAAGACUCUGAUGCCAAAACCGACUGAAAAAUAGGAUUCAUUUCGUAUGUAGCACCAAUGUUCUCCUUAGAUUCCUUCUUAUAUUAGCUAUCUACUGUUCGAGUGUCUUUCUUUCUUUCUUUUUUCCAUUCAAUAUUUGUUAAGCACCAGCUAUGACCAGUUGCUGAGAUAUAAAGAAACGGUUCCUCCUGACAUCAGAUUUGCAGAUUGACGGAGAAGGCGAAGAGGAAGCACAUAGGGCUAAUAAAGUGUCACAAGGACUGUGACAAGAGAACCAGGGAAUAUGUAAGAACAAAAGUAAUAAACAGUCAUUGAGUGCUAGCUAUGCACUAGGCGUAGUGCUGAGAGCUUCCCCUGUGGUAUUAGAAGAGGGAGACAAAAGAAGAGGCAGUUAGUGUUACCAAGGGUGGGCUUAGUUUGCCAGCUAUGGAAAUAAAAAUACAGGAUCCUCAGUUAAAUUUGAAUUUCAGAUAAACAAUAAAUUUUUUUAGUAUAAGCAUGUCUCAUGCAAUAUUUGAAACACACACAUACAAAAACAUUAUUCAUUCUUUAUCUGAAAUCCAAAUUGAACUGGGAGUCCUGUAUUUUAUCUGACAAUUCUAGGUGAGGAGAUCAAGGGAGUAGUAGAAAGUGUUUCACAGAGAAAGUGAGUCUUGAAGAUGAGUCGUUUUUCUCCAGAUUAGGGGUAGGGAGGGAAGUAAGAAUUAUUGAAUCUCAACCUCAUAGCAAUCAUGACCGUAGGAAACUGUCAUAUUUCAAAAGAUCAAUAGAAUUGCUUUCAUAGGGAUGUGUUAAGCCACCUCAAAAUGAUUUCUUUUGGGGGUGAAUAACUGG
ensembl:lncRNA